CACAUCUUUCCUAUUCAGACAGUGAGUGAGUAAGAGAGAGAUCUUCUCAAAAGAGGGUAUUGGAUUAGUCUGGGUCUCACCAGCUGCUACUGAAGAUAAGCUACCAGGACUGUUGUCACCUGAAUUGCUUUUAUUAUUUUUCAUGCACUAUUCCUCAGCCAUUGGGCAGGCUGCUGCCAUCACCACUCCUGCCCACUUUUCUUACUAAGUGUUAUUUUAAGAACUGGAAAUCAUGAAGGAGAAAAAAAAUCAGAAGAGGAACUUAAAUGAUGAUAAAACCAAAGAGAUGCAUAUAGAUCAGAAUGGCCACUGGCAAGUGAGUGCUGUCAUGUUAAGAACAUAGAAAGUUGCCUUACACUGUCAGACCACAGCUUAGUACAGUCUACACCAGCUCUCUCCAAGCUGGUGCCCGCCCUCCAGAUGCUUUGGACUGCACUCCCAUCAACCCCUGCAACACGGCUGGACAGGAAGUACAGCGAUUCCCUUUUCUGCAGUACAUAACAAUACAGCAAGCUCAGAUCAGAAUUCCAAGUCUGAGAGCAUUCUUAAUUGUAAUAAAACUAAAGGCUAUAUGGACAUUUGUGACCAGAUAAUCUCUACAUCCACUUCCAAUCACAUCACCAAACAGAGGCUAACGGGUGUUUUCCCCCCUUCUUCUUCAAAUAUGGUGGGCAAUGCCAGAUUAAAUGCAAUGUUAUACCUGUUAUACUUGUGCAACUUUGUAAUUAUGUUUUAUGUAUGUUAAUAAGGUAUUUUUUAUAUUUAAAAACCUG